rnacentral:rRNA from 1 species
UACUUAGUGGCAGACGGGUGAGUAACAUGUAGGUAUCUGCCCUUUGGCCUGGAAUAACACGAGGAAACUUGUGCUAAUACCGGAUAAGUCUUUACGGAGAAAGCUUUAUGCACCAUUGGAUGAGCCUGCAUUUGAUUAGUUUGUUGGUGGGGUAAUGGCCUACCAAGACUGUGAUCAAUAGCUGAUUUGAGAGGAUGAUCAGCCACAUUGGGACUGAGACACGGCCCAAACUCCUACGGGAGGCAGCAGUGGGGAAUCUUGCACAAUGGAGGAAACUCUGAUGCAGCGAUGCCGCGUGAGUGAAGAAGGCCUUUGGGUUGUAAAGCUCUUUCGUCGGGGAAGAAAAUGACUGUACCCGAAUAAGAAGGUCCGGCUAACUUCGUGCCAGCAGCCGCGGUAAUACGAAGGGACCUAGCGUAGUUCGGAAUUACUGGGCUUAAAGAGUUCGUAGGUGGUUGAAAAAGUUAGUGGUGAAAUCCCAGAGCUUAACUCUGGAACUGCCAUUAAAACUUUUCAGCUAGAGUAUGAUAGAGGAAAGCAGAAUUUCUAGUGUAGAGGUGAAAUUCGUAGAUAUUAGAAAGAAUACCAAUUGCGAAGGCAGCUUUCUGGAUCAUUACUGACACUGAGGAACGAAAGCAUGGGUAGCGAAGAGGAUUAGAUACCCUCGUAGUCCAUGCCGUAAACGAUGUGUGUUAGACGUUGGAAAUUUAUUUUCAGUGUCGCAGGGAAACCGAUAAA